UAAAAUUAAAACAAAUUUAAUCGUCGAUGAAAAAAAAUGUUAUUUUUGAGUGCUCUUAAUUCCAUCAAUUGCAUAGUAAAUUCUAUUACAUAAAAAUUACUUCAACUUAGUUUAAAUUACUUGAUACUACAUUAUGGCUCUAAACAACUUUAGAAAGCCAAAACCACUAAACUACAAAGCCAUUUGCAAUUUGCAAGAAGCUCAAAACCAUUAAACUACAAAGCCACUAAAACCCCUCCCUGUUACAAAAAUUAGCACAAACCAAAAUACUAAGAAAGAAACUCUAAAAUGGCUUCAACCAAAACAAAAAGCAUCUCACACAAACUGACGAGACACGUAGUCCACAUAUCACUAAGCACAGAACCAAAAUAUAACCUUGCAAGCCCUGAAGCGCACAAGAAGGCCAACAGAUACAUGCAGUUCUCAACAAAAGCAAAGCUAAUGAACAACUUCCAAACAGUGAAAUUUAGCCAACAUCCACACUCCAAGCACCAGCCGCACCAGCAAAAGAAACACAGCAGCAACAUUAAAAAGCACCCGUCUGCUAAAGGUCCUUCGCUCCAUUAGC
rnacentral:lncRNA from 1 species